CUUCUACUUUUUUCAGUGUCACAAGAGUAAGAGAACCGGAAGAGCCAAGAGACGCUCCAACCUCAGAUUUGUCAACGUGGUCCCCUUUCUUACAUUUGGCAAAGAGAAAGGUGUCACUGGCAAAACAAGACGGAGAAGCCAAGAGACUCGGUACAACAGCAGAUUUGUCAUUGUGGUUCCCCUACAUUCGGAAACCAAAAAGGUGGCGAAACAAGAGGAAGAAAACUGGAGAAGACUCACAAAGUACAAGCACAGAUUUAUUCACCUACAUUUGUCAAGGAAACAGUGUGCUGCAAAGUGAAGACCGGGUGAAGACGGACGCAGCUGCAGCGAGACAGACACUGAAAUUGAUUUAUUGCCUAAAAACCAUACUACCGGCACUGAGCAAGAAGAGGAACUCUGCAAAACCUGCAAAGUCAGAGGUCCUACGUCAGGUGGCAACACAACAAAUUUAUACCAGGACCUAAAACAGCACAGAGAAAAGUAUGAAGAACGCAGGACACUGAAAGCCCAGAGCGGCCGCGGCUCUACAAAACAAAGAGCAAGCCGGAGCACCAUUACCAAGUCACGCCAUAUGCCAAGUCUUCACAGCGACAUAAAGAAAUCACUGACGCCAUAACCCAAUGCUUGUCAAGAGACAUGAUGCCCAUAUACACUGUUAGCAAAGUGGGAUUUCAGAAGCUGAUCCACGCUCUGGACAAGAGGUAUCUGCUGCCCUCACGAAACUACUUCUCUCAAACAGCGAUCCCCCGAACUCUACAGCAAACGCCGUGAUGCGGUUCAACAGUAAAUGGCUGGGGUGAAAUUCUUCUCCACCACUACGGACUUGUGGUCAAGCAGAACAACUGAACCAUAUAUUAGUCUAACUGUUCACUUUGUCAAUGAGGAGUUUCAACUGAAAAGCCGUUGCCUGCAAACAUCCGAUUUUCCUGAUGACCACACAGGAGAGAACAUAGCCUUGGGCUUGAAGGAGGUGUUGGCUGCAUGGAACCUCUGUGAAGAUCAUCGGGUCGCUAUCACAACAGACAACGGAACGAAUAUGGUCAAAGCUGUGGAGCUUAAUCAGUGGACAAGAUUUCAGUGCUUUGGGCAUAGACUUC